AAGGGGGAACCUAGGUUCCCCUUAUUAAAAGGGGAACCUAUUACGUUUCUAUUAUGAAGAAUCAUCGAGGGGCAUACUUCUUGUUAACAGAGACGACUGUUUGACAUUUCCUUCAGAGAACCCACACCCAACUGCUGCUGUGUUUAAGGAUGUUCUAGAUUCUUAACGACGAUUGUUGGAAAAUUUCAUUCAGAGAACACACAUCAAUUGCCCUCUGCGAUACUGAUCUGCAGCCUGUGAUGACGCCAUCAGUGACUGGUGGCUGUCCAUUGGCUCUUGUCAUUCUGCUUCUCGUGUCCAUGGAUCCUAUAGCCACUGAGGUGGUGAACUCAGUCAACGACUGUACUGAAUUCUUCCUGGAUGGAACCCCACCGGAUAUACUAGGAGUCCUGCAGCAGGGGACCAUUCAGGACCCGAAUCGCUACAAGCCCAUUUGCCAGGAAUAUAAAAAUACCAGGAGGUUCAUGACGCUCUAUGACACAGUUAAUAAGAUCCCAGUGUUUUCUGCAUAUAAAUACACAGGAGACGACGGAAGCAAAAGACCAAGAAAACCGAAGUGGAUGUUUGAGCCAAAGCUUGAAGAUGGGGGAAGCAACAGCAACAUGAAACACCUGAAUAAAAGAAAAAAAUACUCCAAACAAGCUAGUUUUUCCGACUAUUCUCAUCAAACGGACUAUGAUAAAGGCCACAUCUUUCCAAGUGCUCAUGCUCACAACAAAUUAGAUAAGGAGGCUACAUUUACCUUGACUAACAUUGUGCCACAAUCCCGCACAUUUAAUAAUGGAAGCUGGCAAAGAAUGGAGAAAUGUGUCAGAUGUGUGAUGCAUGAAUACUGUUUGAACCAAAACAACCAACAUGAAGCAUUUGUCGUGACUGGAGCAAUUCCCAAUGCAAACAAGACUCUCAAAAACAAGGUCAACAAUAUUCCAAAAACUCUCUGGACAGCAUUUUGCUGCUAUAGCACAGUUACGGG